CAGACGCAAAAGCGUCGUCUGUGGCGGCAGCUGGACGUCGGGCGACCCUCGUCCCGCCGGGUUUUGGGGUUGCGCAAACGAGCGACGGGGGCUGGGCUCCGGAUUCAGGUGUUCUUUCUUCAGAGCUCACGGGUUUCUGUCCGUGCGCGAUGCGAGCGAACGUCGCGGUCGAGGCUAGGGCCCCGAAGCCCGCAGUAACCCGCGUCUCCCGCCCGCUCCGGGCCCCCCGCCCGCUCCGGGCCCCCAGUGCCGCCGUCGCGGGCGGAGGCGCGAGGUCUGGGCCUUGGCGCCUUCGCAGCCGCAGGCGACAUCCUCUUUCCUAGCUAAAGCCCCAAACGUCCAGGUGGCUUCCUGGGAGAGCACGGCAGAGCCUCCGCCUUCAGAUCAGAACAAGCGGAGCCUCCAAGGGCGGCUUGGGCCCAGUGCCUGCUUAUCCUGCCCGCCUCUCCACACCUCCUCUUUCCCUGUCCGUUGGAGUCCAUUCCUUCCUGGAAAAGCCAAAGCCGCGCUCCCCUAAGAAGCCUAGAUGUGAAGGAAUGAGGAGCACCCGGGAAGCUUCAGCCACUACACGAAGGAGGCGCCAAGCCCAAACUCCUCCCCAGCCACCGGCGGGGUCAGUGCAGAGCGGCGCAGGGCACAGGUGAACCCUGGCACGCAGCCUCAGGGAGGGACAGGCUGGAAAUGACCCUGCCUGCAGCUGGGCCAUCAGCCCGACCACCUGCCCCUGAGCAAACGUUGAUGCAGGUCGGGCGCGGUGGCUCAUGCCUGUAAUCCCAGCACUUUAGGAGCCCGAGGCAGGUGGAUCACCUGAGGUUAGGCGUUCACGACUAGCCUGGCCAACAUGGUGAAACACCGUCGCUACUAAAAAUACAAAAACUAGCCCAGCAUGGUAAUGGGGUGCACCUGUAGUCCAGCUACUCGGGAGGCUGAGGCCCGAGAAUCGCUUGAACCCAGGAGGCGGAGCUUGCAGUGAGCGGAGAUCACCACUCCAGCCUGGGUGACAGAGUGAGACUCCAUCUCAAAAAAAUUAAUUAAAAAAAGAAAAAACGCU